rnacentral:pre_miRNA from 1 species
AGUGGGAUAACUGGGUUAAAUGGUGAUUCCAUUUUCUAAGGUCUCCAUACUGCUUUACAGAAUAGUUGCACCAAUUUGCAGUCCCACUAGCAGU